rnacentral:lncRNA from 1 species
CUUUCGGGAGCUGCUGCCACCCCGAUGGCGUGGGAACAGCGGGGCGCAGGCAUCGCGCUUUGCAGAGCGCGUGAAGGACCAACCGCAGUGGCUCCGAGACCUCUACCUGCCCCUGGAUGAGCAGCAGAGGAACUCCAUCUAUCAGCUGUACCGCGAGCCCGAGGAGGAGGAGGAGGAGGAGGGGAAGAAGGAGGAGGAGGUGUUCACGACGACGCCCGAGGAGCAGCACAGCCCCACAGCCUCCGCCCCAUAAGGCCCAAUGGGGCACAGCGGGAUGGGAGCACCGAGCCCUGGGAUGGCGCCGGGCACUGCGGUGCGCAGAGCCCCGUGGGACGCUCUGCUAUUGACUGGGAUGGAUGGCUCCGCUCCGGCAGUGCUGCGUUUGCUAUUAAAGGCUGC